AAAAAACAUAACGUUUUAAAUAAAGGGAAAUAUUUCAUUCAUCAUUAAUCUUUUCUACGCCCACUCACUUUGAACCUGUUCUGUCAUGUUUAUAUCUUAAGUGUGUAUAGCAUGUAAAAGAGGGACGAAAGAUACCAAAGGGACAGUCAAACUCAUAAAUCUAAAACAAACUGACAACGCCAUGGCUAAAAAAUGAAAGACAAACAAAAAACAGCACACAUGACACAACAUGGAAAACUAAAGAAUAAACAACACGAACCCCCCAAAAA
rnacentral:lncRNA from 1 species